UCCGGUUGAUCCUGCCGGACCUGACUGCUAUCGGAUUGAUACUAAGCCAUGCGAGUCUUUGUAGUAAUACAAGGCAUACGGCUCAGUAACGCGUAGUCAACCUACCCUAUGGACAAGAAUAAUCUCGGGAAACUGAGCAUAAUUCUUGAUAGAUCAUAAUGCCUGGAAUGGUUUAUGGUUAAAAUGAUUCGUCGCCAUAGGAUGGGACUGCGGCCUAUCAGCUUGUUGGUGAGGUAAUGGCCCACCAAGGCGAUUACAGGUACGGGCUCUGAGAGGAGAAGCCCGGAGAUGGGUACUGAGACAAGGACCCAGGCCCUAUGGGGCGCAGCAGGCGAGAAAACUUUGCAAUGUGCGAAAGCACGACAAGGUUAGUCCGAGUGAUUUCUGCUAAAGAGAUCUUUUACUAGUUAUAAAACCACUAGUGAAUAAGGGGUGGGCAAGUUCUGGUGUCAGCCGCCGCGGUAAAACCAGCACCUCAAGUGGUCAGGAUGAUUAUUGGGCCUAAAGCAUCCGUAGCCGGCUCUGUAAGUUUUCGGUUAAAUCUAUGCGCUCAACGUAUGGGCUGCCGAAAAUACUGUAGAGAUAGGGAGUGGGAGAGGUAGACGGUACUCGGUAGGAAGGGGUAAAAUCCUUUGAUCUAUCGAUGACCACCUGUGGCGAAGGCGGUCUACCAGAACACGUUCGACGGUGAGGGAUGAAAGCUGGGGGAGCAAACCGGAUUAGAUACCCGGGUAGUCCCAGCUGUAAACGAUGCAGACUCGAUGAUGCAUUGGCAUAUAGCCAGUGCAGUGUCGCAGGGAAGCCGUUAAGUCUGCCGCCUGGGAAGUACGUACGCAAGUAUGAAACUUAAAGGAAUUGGCGGGGGAGCACCACAAGGGGUGAAGCCUGCGGUUCAAUUGGAGUCAACGCCGGG
rnacentral:rRNA from 1 species